ensembl:lncRNA novel transcript
UGUCCCACUGUGGCCUGUCUGUGCCUCUCUGCACUGGGUGUGACUGUCUGGCCAGACCAUGUCUGUGAAUGUGUCAGUCUGCCCAGAUCUACCCAAUCUGUUGCCAGGUCCCACAUGUGUGUGUUCCUGGUGAGAUGGUGUGUACCUCUAAGGCUUCGGCUUGGUGUCCCUGGGAGCAUCUCUGAUGUGUGUGCAACAGUGGUGGGCCAGGGUGCCAGGGACUCUCUGCCAUACUGUGAACACAUCAUCUCUGUCCCUAGGUUUGUCUCUCUUGUCUUGUCUCUAUCUUCUGAGUUGGAGAUCUGGGGUGUGUGUGUCCUAUUGUGUUUGUCUCCAUGUGUGUCACACGCCAUUGUGUCUGCCUUGCUGUGUGCCUCUCACCUGAAUG